CCUGGGAAAUUCCAUAUGCUGCAGAUGUGGUCCUAAAAAGACACACACACACAAAGCCUGUAUAUAGUAAUAACCAUGAACUUCUGCAUAGUCCUUACCAUUUAUAAGGAAAAUGCCUUCACACUUGUGGUCUCAUUUGUAAUUAGUGUUUUCCCUUUACAGAUGAGAAAUGUGAGGCUUAGAGAGAUUAAGUGGCUUGCCAGAAGUCAUAGAGUUAGUCAAUUCAGAUCUUUUGACCCUGAGCCAAAUCUUUUGUUGGUCCCCACGUUCCAAUAUCACCUUGUCUCUCACUGGCUUCUCAUUUAAACGAGCAUCCUUUUCAUUAUCCUUCAACAAGUUUGGGGUUUCCAUAAUAUGCCAAUCAGAUUGAAACAAAAGGUCCUCUUAGUGGUUAUUCCUCUUGCCGAGAUGGUCUGCAAGCAGCCUGGAAACCACUGAUGGAAGAUCUGGAGGGUCGAGCUUGAACUAGUCCUUCUAGAAAAUCUGAGUUCCCUCCUGUCCUCCUGGGGGUUCCAUGCUUCAGUUUAACUGACACAUCACGUGCACCGAUGUUGGAGGAGUAAAGGGAAAAUGUGAUCUCUAACGUGCUUUACUGUUGACAUAAGUUAUUUAAAAUACCUCUCCUGGGCCUCCUGAGUGACACCCAGAGAAUCAAAGCCACAGAUGGUUGGGACAGUCAGGGAGAACAACUCGCUUCCGAGGGCUGCUUGGGAUGGCAAAGUAUCUUCUCCUUUACACUCAGAGCCACUGACCCAAGUGGGUCAGUCAGCCAACCUGCUUCACAUGACUUUGAAAACAAGAUAAGAGAGGCAUUUGUAUUUCUGUUUCCUCUCAUUUCAGGCCACCCACCUACCACCAACUGCAAGUUGAAAAACACUGGGGAUAGUUUGACCAGAAGACCCACUGCGUAUAGCACCUUCUGGGAGGCCAAUCACCCUGAAAGAGGUGUGUAUCCAAUAGCCUUCCUUCAGAUCUUCUCUAGGCUUGGCUGGACCCAAUUCUGGUUUCCCAUUAGGCCUCAGAUCCUGCCCACAGUCUGGGGGCUGGAGAGGCUAAUCUCAAAGGGCUAGAAAUGAGUCAGUUUCCACACUCAGCUUCAGGCAUGCGGCUUCCUGAAGCCCAGACGAGGAAGCUCUGAAUUUCAAAGAGCAAUUUUUUUUUUCUUUGCAUACCAUAUCCGGAACUGAAACCACCAAUUCAUUUCACUUAAGAUCUCACACUACACUCAGAUCAUCAAUAACAUUCCAGAGAUAAGAUACCCAGGCUUCAUCAACCGAGUCAUUCCGUCUGUCGCUCUCGUUUCUCUUGAUGCUAAUGUUGCUGGCAUGUUUUUCUUUUGUUUAGUCCUGAUGACACAGAAUUUGGAGGCCUUUGUUUUCUUCACAGGUGUUUAUGAGAAGUAGAAACCAAAUAUCUCAAACUGUUGAGGGCCUGGCUCUGCCCAUAGCUUCCUGCUUUCCCUUGCAGUCAGCUUGGCUCUGUGUGAGUAUGAAGGUCCUAGACUCCACGUCUCAUUGCAGCGAGCAACAGGCUUUGCUGAGAGCUUCCCCACAGAGGUGACAGGUCACCUCACUAACCAGGAAAGUAGUGCAAAGAUAGAGGGUAUGGAGAGAUUCCUGAAAACCACCCUCAAGAAGCAGGAAAGCGAUGAAAAAUGUACCCAUCCUCCUGAUGCCAACUGAUUCAUCGACCUGUGGGGUGGGGGGGAAGGCUCACCACAUUUUAUAUAGUACCUUACAAUUUAUAAACCACUUUCACAUCCUUUCUCUCUCUUGAUUCUCACCAGAACUUGUGAAAUGAGCCAGACAAGCAUUACCCACCCCCCAGUUUAGAGAGGAGAGAGUACCUAGCGCUAAUAAGUGGAAUGAUGGGCUCAAGCAGUGAAAGUGGAAAAGUCAGAGACUUCAGGUGAGAAGCCAGAUCUUUUAAUCCCAAGUCUACUACUCUGGUAACUCCCAUCUAACCUUAUAUAUAACAUAAUAUUACAUCAUAAGCCAUGACCUAAUGUUGCACAGUCAUUUGUCGAUAUUUUUAAAUUUUAGGUUCUUACAGGUCAAGGUUAAUGGCUGUAGGACAGCAUUUUUGUACAACCCUUCUAGGCCUCUGCUUUCCUUAUUUAAAAAGUCAAGGAAGGCAUUCAAUCCUGUGUUGCUUUCAGUUCGAACAUUCUGUGGGUCCCUGUGUCAGUGACUGCAGAAUCCAUGAGAUUACCCAAAAAUUGUAUCCAAAGGAUUCCCUAUGGAGCAUCAGCAUUCAGGAUGACUGUAGUACAAAGUAAAAAUGGUUGCCAAAAAAUGUAAUUGUAAUGUAUACAUGUAAGGAUAACUUGAUCCCCUUGCUGUACAGUGGGGGGAAAAAAUGGUUGCCAUGGUCAAAUAGUUAGAAAAAGGCAGGAUUAUUCAAAAUGAAACAGGUAGCUUUGCUCCAGCCCUUCUCAGAGCCUUUACAUUCAAAUCUACCUGGGCAGGAGGCUUUGGAUGUGCAACAUUCCCCUAAGUUGGCCCUAGAAAGUGCAUCUCAUUGAAUUAGUGAUCUAUGUAGCCCACUCUGAUAAACAGCAGGACAUUCUCUGAUGAUCCCAUUGGCCUUUUAAAGCAGCAUCACAGAUUUCAAGAGAAAUUUUACAACCCCUCCCAGAGCUACUCCCCCCACUGCACCCCACACCAGCCCUGUACUUCCUAGACCAUGGAGGGUGGUCCUCCAGGUCUGGUACUGCCUAGCAUGGGGAAACCCAGCUGCACGAUCUGGGUCACAUCACUUCAGCCACAGAAGACUUUGUGCUAAAAAAACUCCACAGUCCAUCUGCAAGCAAGGACUUCCACAUGUUGCCUGAAUAUAGCACUAGAGGCAUCUCCUUUUAUUGCCUUGGAAAGUUCCUGCCCUUUCAUUUCCCUGAGGGCAAGACUGCAUCAUUCUCUUAUUAUGGGAGAAGAAAGGUAGGGCUGCUAAGAUUUUCCAUUCUGCCUAUUGCCAUUCUGACUCCUGUGGCUCUUCCAGUAUCCUUUCUCUUUGGGAAAAGGAAUUCUAGACUCUCAGAGAGGCUCUUAGGGUAUGGCAGAGCACAGAGGGGCUUUAUCCGGUCUGCAACCCCUUUCUGUUUGCCUCUUCCCUUCAGUAUCCCUUCCACAGGCUGUGUAGACAGCUUCUGGGAUAAUGUGCUCUCUUCUCAGAGGCAGCCUUGUCCCAUGUUUUAACAGUUUAGAUUGUUCGAAAGUUCUACACCACACUCUGUCUCAUGGGAACAUCCUCCCAUGGUUGGCUCCAGACAAGUCUGACCCUGCUUCCACAAGAAUGCAAUGUGUGGCUGCCAAUCUCACAGGUGACUCUACUUGUCUCAAAUCCGUAUCUUCAAAGUCCCAUGAGCAGCAUGUCUUUCCAGUCUCCAGCCCAACCUGUCUUGUGAACUAAAUUUCUACCACUCCUCCCCAUCAUCUCUGCGCUGGAGGAAGUCUCUGUGGUACCAAAGCUAUUGUUUACCUGUUUGGCUGGGAAUCCUCCACUCUGAGGGUAGACUUCCUUCUCUGUGUUUAGGUCAGCAGAUGCCAUCUUCAAGUUUAGUGUUAUGUUUCUGCUUUUGACCUCAGCCUCCCCUUAUGCUUGGUUCAAGAUGGCUAGCUAUACGAGAGACUGAGACAAAUUAUCUUUAGUUCUAGAAUGACGUGACUCUCCCUAGUGCCGAACUACAUGGAGGAAACUUCAGGCUGAAAGAAGGCACACAGGCAAAUACAUUUCAAAUGGCCUUGGAACUUCUGUUUUAUUUGCAAGAAGAAUACAAUUCUUAUUUUUUCCUUGAUUUGGGUAUAUGUUCUACAGUCUUUAUCAAACACCUAGGUUGUGUUUUAAGAUUUUGUAUGAAGAUUUUACAUUCAUUAUCUUAUUUAUGCCCAUAACAACCAUUUCAAGCCAGAUAUUAUUGUAUCAUAUCACUACAUUUUAUAAGAGCACUGUGGUUAUAGGCUAGUGUUUUAAUCUUUUGUUCUAUUAUUAGAAGCCAGGACUGCGAUUCAGAAAACCUAGAUUCUAACCCCUCCGUGACCUUCAGCAAGUCACUUUCUCUCUUUGGCCCUCAGUCUUUCCAUCUGUAAAACAGAAGAGGUGUGGGGUGAACAAAUGAGCUGCAACAACCCUAAUCCUGGGGUACCAAGAAAUCUUGGUCGGCCUCUCACAAUCACUUGUCCAUUUUCAGUGUGACCAGAGAGAAGAAAAAAAAAAAAAGAAAAACCCACAGCUGGAUCCAGGAGCACAAACCUCUCUCCACUAUUUGCCACAGAGAUGGCUGCCAUGCCUGAAGGAGGACCAAGCCAUGCUCAAAAGAGAUUGAGUCCUUCUUACAAUUAAUCAGCUACACCCCUGUGUUGUAUGUCUUGAUGUCUAAUUUCCAGAGGAAAGAUUGUUGUCAAACCAAAUAAAUGACGAUGCUUUUGGAAAAGAAAAAAAAAAAAAAAAAAGCAAUCAAAAGGAAAACCCACCUCUCCUCAA